CAUUCUAUUUUAUAUAGAGGUUUUUGGCCCUGAAGAUUUUUUUCCCUGCUAAGAUGUUCAACCAGAAAGAUUCCAGUCACAAGUGGUGUUCCUCAGGGGUCCGUGCUGGGGCCAAUACUGUUUAACAUUUUUAUCAAUGAUAUAGACAGGGAGAUUAAAGGCACCAUCAGCAAGUUUGCAGAUGACACCAAGUGGUGUUGUUGAUACACCAGAGGGAUGGGAUGUCAUCCAAAAGGACCUGGACAGGCUGGAGAGGUGGGCCCAGGUGAACCUCAUGAGGUUCAACAAGAGCAAAUGCAAGGUUCUGCACCUGGGCCGGAACAAUCCUCACCAUCAGUACAGACUGGGGGUGAGGUAUUAGAAAGCAGCCCUGAGGAAAGGGACUUGGGGGUGCUGGUGGAGGAGAAGCUGGACAUGAGCAGGCAGGGUGCAGCUGCAGCCCAGAAGGCCAAUCCCAUCCUGGGCUGCAUCAAAAGAAGCGUUGCCAGCAGGUCCAGAGAGGUGAUUCUGCCACUUCACUCUGCUCUGGUGAGACCUCACCUGGAGUAUUGUGUGCAGGUCUGGAGCCCUCAAUAUAAGAAGGACAUGGACCUGAUGGAGAGGGUCCAGAGGAGGGCCACGAGGAUGAUCAGGGGGAUGGAGCACCUCUGCUACGAGGACAGGCUGAGGGAGCUGGGGUUGUUCAGCCUGGAGAAGAGGAGGCUCCGGGGAGACCUAAUAGCAGCCUUCCAGUACCUGAAGGGAGCCUACAGGAAGGCUGAGGAGAACCUGUUUAGAAAGGCCUGCAGUGACAGGACGAGGGGCAAUGGCUUCAAGCUGGAGGGGAACAGAUUUAGGCUGGAGAUUAGGAGAGGGUUCUUCACUGUGAGGGUGGUGGAGCACUGGAACAGGUUUCCCAGGGAGGUGGUUGAGGCCCCAUCCCUGGAGAUAUUCAAGGAGAGGCUCGACAAGGCCCUGGGCAACCUGGUCUAGUUGGGGGUGUCCCUGCUGACUGUGGGGAGGUCGGACUAGAUGACCUUUGGAG
rnacentral:lncRNA from 1 species